UUUCAAGUUGCCUGUACCCCAGAAUUUCUUGCUUCUGUGUAAAAUGAAGUAGUUGAGCUCAAGAUGGACAGCAGAGGAUGAGAAGCAGAGUUUGUGGAAGCAGCAGGAACUGUAAUGCCUGGCAACAUCUUGAAACAUGUACCCAGAUAAUUCCCGACAUGAGGUUGUGCACACACAGCAUUCGUGAUGCUGCCUGAGAUAUUCCUAAUAACAUCCCUGAAAAUGUUCAAGAUUGACACUCCAGGAUCCUUGCAGCAUGCUGAGAAAGGAGCUCCCUUUCCUUGUCCAAAGGACAUUUAUUUUUUGUGGUGUUCUUGUGCAUGACACAGAUAGAUGACAGCUUCCAAGUUGGACAACUCACAACUGCCCCAAAAGAUGUGUCUACAGAAGAGCAAGAAGUGGGGCUGAGGCCGCUAAGAACAGCAUCACCUGUGCACACAUCAUUACAUAGAAUGCACAAAGUUUUUCAGAGCCUCUGGAAAGGAGUUACAUGUCUUUGAAUCUGA